rnacentral:rRNA from 1 species
GGAGUGGCGGACGGGUGAGUAACACGUGGGUAACCUACCCAUCAGAGGGGGAUAACACUUGGAAACAGGUGCUAAUACCGCAUAACAGUUUAUGCCGCAUGGCAUAAGAGUGAAAGGCGCUUUCGGGUGUCGCUGAUGGAUGGACCCGCGGUGCAUUAGCUAGUUGGUGAGGUAACGGCUCACCAAGGCCACGAUGCAUAGCCGACCUGAGAGGGUGAUCGGCCACACUGGGACUGAGACACGGCCCAGACUCCUACGGGAGGCAGCAGUAGGGAAUCUUCGGCAAUGGACGAAAGUCUGACCGAGCAACGCCGCGUGAGUGAAGAAGGUUUUCGGAUCGUAAAACUCUGUUGUUAGAGAAGAACAAGGACGUUAGUAACUGAACGUCCCCUGACGGUAUCUAACCAGAAAGCCACGGCUAACUACGUGCCAGCAGCCGCGGUAAUACGUAGGUGGCAAGCGUUGUCCGGAUUUAUUGGGCGUAAAGCGAGCGCAGGCGGU